AUUUAGUGGUUAAAAAUCUCAAUGUAUAAGAUACACUGAAACGAAAAACGAACUUCAGCUCCUCUCCUCUGUGAGAGUUUCUUUUUCUCCACUGUGAGAGUGCUUCUAUGAGACCUUCUAGACUCUUCGGUGGCACCGGCCCUAGCUUCGGCUGGGGUCAGGUGUUGUGUCCUUUCUCCCUUUUCUUCUACUUUUCUCCCUGCAUCUACUGUUGGUUCUCCCCAAUUUUCAAUUUGGCCUAUCCAAUUCCUUCAACUUCGUGGGUUUUCUUCUUCCUAGUUCUUCCUUGCUUCGUUUUUCAACCAUGUUCUCUAUCGAGUUCAUGUGUAGAGUUCCGGCGCGGGUGUUUUCCACACCACCACGUUAUCCUUUGUGUGGGCCGCUUGCGACAAUGUUGCUCGGGACUUGUUCUGAGCUUCCACUUGGUGAUUGGCCUCUUGGAUGACGAUUAACCCUAACUUAUGGCUAUGAGCAUGAGACGUCAAUGAAGCAGAUGAUCGGCAGUGGUCGGAGACCGUCGGUGGAGAAGGCAGUGGGCGUUUCUCGGAUGUUCUUUGUUUCAGCCAUUCUGUGCACUUAGGACGUUUUUGGUGAUAAUUCAACUUUCCGGGGGAGUUUUGCUGCAAGGCCAAUUGGAGAAGGAAGAUAAGAGGCUGAAGAUCGUUGUGUCCAAAUUUCAUAAUUUUCCAUGGAGCCAUUCAUUCUAGUUUCACAAAUGAAUCCCGCAGAAGUAACUUUCCCGUCAGAAUUGCACAGCUGUAGGAGAAUGAAGAUUUGAAGGCUUUCCCGAUUUUUCCUAGUGUCUUGCAAUAUAUGCCUGGAAAGAUAAGAGAUAAAGCUACGUUUUUCAUAUUUUUACAGAAUUUUCCAGAAGAUAAAUCAACCCCAAAACUGGCGUGGAAGGCAGAUGACGUGUUUCCCAAGUCAAGAAGGAUUCUUUCUUAUUUUGUGUCAUUAAUUGUUUAGGAGUUUGAUUUAUUUUAGGAGACUUUCUCCCAGACCUUUUAGGGUUUUUCUAGUUUAAAUAAGGUCCCUAAGCUCUCUCUAAAACAUCCAUCCAUAUAUCCAUCCAUCAAUCCGUCCAUCCAUCCACCUCCACACCAUACUACCAUUCACCAUCUCCGCAAUUAGUGAAGAAGAGCUUAGGGACGUGCUUUGCCAUGGAUUCCGGGUUCUAUCUUUCUUUUAUUUUUAUUUCUAUGUGUAACUAAGUUAUUUUCUAAGGUUUAUGAUGAAGCCAUGACAUAAAUAUUUGCGAAGUACUUUGUUGAUUAUUAUUCCAUUAUAUGCCAUGUUAUAUUCUUAA